CACGUAGGGGGCGAGCGUUGUCCGGAUUUAUUGGGCGUAAAGAGCUCGUAGGCGGCUCGGUAAGUCGGGUGUGAAAACUCUAGGCUCAACCUAGAGACGCCACCUGAUACUGCUGUGGCUAGAGUGCGGUAGGGGAGACUGGAAUUCCUGGUGUAGCGGUGAAAUGCGCAGAUAUCAGGAGGAACACCGGUGGCGAAGGCGGGUCUCUGGGCCGUAAGCUGACGCUGGAGGAGCGAAAGCAUGGGGAGCGAACAGG
rnacentral:rRNA from 1 species